rnacentral:rRNA from 1 species
AUGAAGAUCAGCGCACUCCUGACCUCUGCGGGCAUCAAUAUUGGGCUCUGCGUGCUCUUUCUGUCGCUCUAUUCUGUUCUGAGGAAGCAGCCAGCCAAUGUCAGGGUCUACUUCGGCCGGAGGAUUUCCGAGGAGCAUAGUCGGCUCCGAGAGGCUUUUAUUUUGGAGAGGUUUGUUCCAUCAACUGGCUGGAUUGUCAAGGCCCUGAGGUAUACCGAGGAAGAGGUCUUGGCAGCUGCUGGGCUGGAUGCUGUCGCUUUCAAUAGAAUGCUAGUCUUCAGCAUACGUAUCUUUUCCCUAGCUGCUCUGCUGUGUGUGUUUGGAAUUCUUCCACUGCAUUAUUAUGGACAAAAUAUACAGCAUCUUCGGAUUCCUUAUGAAGAUCUGGAUAUCUUCACAAUUGGAAAUGUGGAAAAGCGAUCAAGAUGGCUUUGGGUUCAUUGUCUAGUUCUCUACAUACUAUCUGGAGUAGCUUGCAUUCUCCUAUAUCUUGAGUUUAGGCACAUUGCUAGACUGAGGCUCCUUCACCUUAAACGUGCAACACCCAAUCCAGGCCAAUUUACUGUGCUUGUUCGCGGAAUACCAAAGACAAAGAAAGAAUCGUGCAGUAGUGCUGUUGAUGAUUUCUUCACCAAGUAUCAUGCGUCAAGUUACCUAUUCCACCAAAUUGUUUACAAAACUGGCAAAGUUCAGAAGAUAAUGACUGGUGCGAAGAAGGCAUGUAGAAAGUUGAAAAAUUUCACGGACACCACUGUAGAUCAGAGCUGCAAAGCAAUUACAUACCGGUGUUGUCUUUGUGGUGCCUCUUCAAAUUCUUUCCAGUUGUUGCCCACUGAUGAAGUUGUACCGAGCAGAGGAAAAGUUGACCUGGACGAUUCUAGCUUGAACAUAGAUAAUGAGGAAUGUGCAGCUGCUUUUGUAUUUUUCAAAACACGGUAUGGAGCACUUGUCGCGUCAGACGUACUUCAGACAUCAAACCCUACGAAGUGGGUUACUGAUCUAGCUCCAGAACCAAAUGAUGUGUAUUGGUCAAACAUUUGGCUUCCCUAUAAGCAGCUUUGGAUUCGACGGAUAGCGACGCUACUUGGUUCUAUUGUUUUUAUGCUCUUAUUUCUGGCACCGGUGACAUUUAUAAAUGGUCUAUCUCAGCUUGAUCAGUUGCAGAAGAGGCUUCCUUUCCUUAACGGGAUAUUGAAGCAGCCACACCACCUGGUCCAGCUAAUAACUGGAUACCUUCCGAGUGUCAUACUGCAAAUAUUUCUAUACACCGUUGCGCCAAUAAUGAUGCUAUUUUCAACACUAGAAGGGCCUAUAUCUCACAGCGAAAGGAAGAGGAGUGCGUGCUGUAAAGUGCUGUACUUCUUGAUUUGGAAUGUAUUCUUUGUUAAUGUGGUAUCUGGCACUGUCUUAAAACAAUUGGAUUUCUUUUCAAGCCCGAAGGACAUUCCUGUCCAGCUCGCUAAGGUUAUACCUGGGCAGGCUUCCUUCUUCAUCACCUAUGUUCUUACUUCAGGAUGGGCCAGUUUAUCAUCUGAACUCAUGCAACUCUUUGGUCUGAUCUAUAACUUCAUAAGGAAGUAUGUUCUGAGAAUGAAAGAAGAUACAGAGUUUGUCCCCUCGUUCCCCUAUCACACUGAAGUACCAAAAGUUUUGUUGUUUGGACUAUUGGGAUUCACAUGCUCUGUACUGGCGCCCUUGAUCUUACCUUUUCUGCUAGUCUACUUCUUCCUGGGUUAUGUCGUAUACCGCAAUCAGCUGCUCAAUGUGUACCGCACGAGAUAUGACACCGGUGGUUUGUAUUGGCCGAUUAUACACAACACAGUGAUAUUCUCUCUCGUGCUCACCCAGAUCAUCUGCCUCGGUGUAUUUGGCCUGAAAGUAUCACCAGUAGCUGCAGGCUUCACCAUACCUCUCAUCAUCUUCACUCUUCUGUUCAAUCAGUAUUGCAGAACCCGGCUUCUUCCACUGUUCAGCACUUUCCCAGCACAGAAUUUAAUCGACAUGGACAGGGAGGACGAGCUGUCAGGAAGAAUGGAACAUAUUCACCACGGGCUCCAUACCGCGUAUUGCCAGUUCCCUGAAUCUGAAGAUAUACAACUGGAGGAAAUUCGGACCGUCGGGAAUGAUGAGGACGGCGGAGGUUGUAGCUCGGGCGGGUCCAACGGCAAAGGUUGCUCGGACGAGCCCAGCGGCAAAGAGACCCUCCAGGAACAGCAGCAGCCCAGAAGGGAUCUGUCUCACCCGACACUCAAAGGGCUCCCCGUUAGCCGUCUGCAGACUGCCGUGAGAUGCGUCACUUUCCUCAUUCGGCUGCAGAAAAGAGGCUUGUCAUGA